rnacentral:rRNA from 1 species
CAGUCGCCGCGGUAACACGAGGGGGGCAAGCGUUGUUCGGAAUUAUUGGGCGUAAAGGGUGCGUAGGCGGUUUCGUAAGUCUGAUGUGAAAUCUAUGGGCUCAACCCAUAGUCUGCAUCGGAAACUGCGAGGCUUGAGAGUGGGAGAGGAGAGUGGAAUUCCACGUGUAGCGGUGAAAUGCGUAGAGAUGUGGAGGAACACCAGUGGCGAAGGCGACUCUCUGGUUUGUAACUGACGCUGAGGAGCGAAAGCGUGGGGAGCGAACAGGAUUAGAUACCCGGGUAGUCCCUGUCUCUUAUAC